rnacentral:rRNA from 1 species
UACGGAGGGAGCUAGCGUUGUUCGGAAAUACUGGGCGUAAAGCGCACGUAGGCGGCGCAGCAAGUCAGGGGUGAAAUCCCGGGGCUCAACCCCGGAACUGCCCUUGAAACUGCAGUGCUAGAAUUCUGGAGAGGCGAGUGGAAUUCCGGAGUGUAGAGGUGAAAUUCGUAGAUAUUCGGAAGGAACACCAGUGGCGAAGGCGACUCGCUGGACAGACAUUGACGCUGAGGUGGCGAAA